rnacentral:rRNA from 1 species
UAAGAAUUUAAAAGUCGAACAGACUUAUAUGUUAAGAAUUCUGCUUCUUAAAAUAUUCUUAAUUCAACAUCGAGGUCGCAAAAUUUAAUAUAGAUAAGAACUCCCCAUUAAAAUUACGCUGUUAUCCCUAAGGUAACUUAGUCUUAUUUCCCAUUACUCAGGAUCUAAAUUUACAUAAAUAAAUGAUUUAAUGAACUAAAGUCUAAAUUUAGCUACCACCCCAGCAAAAUAUAAAAAAUUAUUAUAAAAUAUUUGACUUAAAUAAAAUAAUAAAUAUAUAUAUAAAGUUCUAUAGGGUCUUAUCGUCCCAAUAAAAAAAUAAAGCAUUUUAACUUUAAAUUUAAAUUUUAAUAUUUUAAGAAAUAAAAUAUAUUUCUCAUUUAUCCUUUCAUGCCAGCCUCCAAUUAAAAGACUAAUUACUAUGCUACCUUUGCACAGUCAAAAUACUGCAGCCAUUUAGCUGUUAACCAUUGGGCAGAAAAUACUUUUUAUAUACACCCA